UUUUUGGAGGGCAAGUCGUGGUCGCCGACGCAGCCGCGGUAAUUCCAGCUCCAAUAGCGUAUAUUAAAGUUGUUGCAGUUAAAAAGCUCGUAGUUGAAUUUCGGGAUCAAUUUGUUGGUCGUGCCUCGGUACAUACUGGGCAUUAUUGGUUUCCUACCUUCCUGAAGAACCGUUGAUGUCAUUAAUUUGGUGUUCUUGGGAAUCAGGACUGUUACUUUGAAAAAAUUAUAGUGUUUAAAGC
rnacentral:rRNA from 1 species